GACAGAGGGUGCAAACGUUGUUCGGAAUUACUGGGCGUAAAGCGCGUGUAGGCUGCUUCGCAAGUCGGGUGUGAAAGCCCUGGGCUCAACCUAGGAAGUGCACUCGAAACUGCGAAGCUUGAGUCCUGGAGAGGAAGGCGGAAUUCUCGGUGUAGAGGUGAAAUUCGUAGAUAUCGAGAGGAACACCGGUGGCGAAGGCGGCCUUCUGGACAGUGACUGACGCUGAGGAGCGAAAGCCAGGGGAGCAAACGGGG
rnacentral:rRNA from 1 species